rnacentral:rRNA from 1 species
UAAACGACUCUCGGCAACGGAUAUCUCGGCUCACGCAUCGAUGAAGAACGUAGCAAAAUGCGAUACUUGGUGUGAAUUGCAGAAUCCCGUGAACCAUCGAGUUUUUGAACGCAAGUUGCGCCCAAAGCCUUUUGGUUGAGGGCACGUCUGCCUGGGCGUCACAC